GUAAUCUUUAUUAAGGUCAAGUUACAGUAAAUGGGCUAUGUCACAGAUUUCAGUCAAAUUUUGCAUAUAUACAACUCUGGCUCUAUGAACUUGUGAAAAGCUAACAAGUAAUGCAUUUAUCUCAUUUAUCAUUUGAAAUAUUACUGAUUGAAAUCUUUCAAAAUGAGUGAACAUUUGUAUAGAAAGCCCUUAAAAUUGGCAAAAACCUUCCAAAAUCUGGCUUAAAAUUCAUCAAAUCUCUGAUUCUUCUCCAUAGAUUUUUUUUUAAAACUAUAUGUCGUUGAUACAUAAAUUUCUGUUUUGAUGUUGCAAAAUAAAUAUAAGGUCACCGACUUCGUUUGUACAAUCAAAAUCUGCAACAUAUAAAAAAGAAGAUGUGGUUAUAAUGAUUGCCAAUGAAACAACUCUCCACAAGAGACCAAAAUGACACAGAAAUUAACAACUACAGGUCAGUGUAUGGCCUUCAACAAUGAGCAAAGCACAUACCACAUAAUCAGCUAUAAAAGGCCCAAAAAUGACAAUGUAAAACAAUUCAAACGAGAAAACUAACGGCCUAAUUUAUGUACAAAAAAUGAACAAAAAACAAAUAUGUAACACAUAAACAAAUGAAAACCACUGAAUUACAGAUUCCUGACUUGGGACAGGCACAUACAUAGAGAAUGUGGAGGGGUUAAACAUGUUAGCGGGAUCCAAUCCCUCCCCUAAUCUGGGACAGUGGUGUUAUAGCCCAUUUACUGUUCCUUGACCUUAAAAUAGAUUGAUAAUUCAAAUUGAAAAACUCAAUUUUAGCACUAACAGGUUGUUUUGCAUUUUAUUUAUUAAAAAUGUUAUAAUAGCCAUGAAACAAUGAUUUUAUUUUCAGGUCAUUUAAGAAGAAAAUUGAUAGAGGAAAGAUACAGAUAUGCAAGAAUUUAAUAUUUGAAAUGCACUUAAUAUUUCUUUUGUAUAUGACCACCAAAUUUUGGCUGUCAUUAUUAUCUCUGCCAUAUAAACAAAUAUAUCUUGUAAAAUUUAUUCAUUAGAGGAAGCUUAAAUAACAAAUAUCUAACC
rnacentral:lncRNA from 1 species